CCUCUCAAACCGGUUAAUAAACCCUCUCAAAACCCAAGUUCGCAGCAGUGCAACUCUUCUGCGUUUUUGAAGCAUUGACCCAUCAUCGAGAGCUGUGGAAGGCUUUCAAAAAUGGGUCGGAAAAAUCUCAAAAGAUGUAAAAGCCGUCUCUGAAAAAGCAUCAUCAUCUUCUUCUUCUUCUUCUUCUUCCUUUGAAGGUCCUCGUUCUACUGAAGGCCUCUCUGCCGCUUUUUCCGAUCAGUCUCGUAUUAUAGUUGCCAGACCUGUUAGAGAGGAGUGGUGUCGCUGUGGACAUGUUCAGAGUUCUGUGCAAUUGCCUUUGUUGCUGGAAUCAUUGUUGGCUAUACCCUGAAGCGGCAUUAAAGGCUGGGCUAACAAAGCUUCUCAAGAGGAUCAGAGAUGAUUGAUUGCACCUAGGUUGAGUUAAGUUAUCGCAUUCAAUAGAUUGUCGUCAAUAGAUGAGUGAUUCUCUAACAUUAGUUGUGUAAAGAGUGCAUUUUUGAGGAGUUUUCAGCUUCUGUCGUGACAAAUGCAUCUCACCUUAUCAACAGAUAUUGUUAUUCUUUUUAAACUAUUAUGGUAAAGUUUUAAGCUAGUUGUGAGGCUGAUUCUUGGGUUGUUUACCGACUAGAUUUUGUUCCUGCAGCUAUGAAUUCGUGCAUCUGCCGUUAUCUGUAAUUUAAGUUGGAGUAAAACGAUAAGCUGAAUGCUGCCUAUUUUGUUUCUGUUAUAUGAGAUAAAGAUGUGUGAAACCACUCUUCCAUCGAACCUGAAGUAGUAUACAUAUUGAUGAUUAUGUGAUU